GACGAACGCUGGCGGCGUGCCUAAUACAUGCAAGUCGAGCGCUCAAGGAUGGUACUUGUGCCAACUGGAUGAGCAGCGAACGGGUGAGUAACGCGUGGGGAAUCUGCCUUUGAGCGGGGGACAACAUCUGGAAACGAAUGCUAAUACCGCAUAAAAACUUUAAACACAAGCUUUAAGUUUGAAAGAUGCAAUUGCAUCACUUAAAGAUGAACCCGCGUUGUAUUUGCUAGUUGGUGAGGGAAAGGCCCACCAAGGCGAUGAUACAUAGCCGACCUGAGAGGGUGGUGAGCCGCAGUGGGACUGAGACGAGGACCAGACACCCUGGGAAGGCAGCAGGAGGGAAUCUUCGGCGAUGGGCGGCAGUCUGGACGAGCGGCGACGCGGGAGAGGAGAAAGUUUUCGGGUCGGAAAACUCUGUUGAUGGAGAAGGACGGUAAUGAGAGUGGGAAGCUCAUGAAGUGACGGUAACUACCCAGAGAGGGACGGCUAACUACGUG
rnacentral:rRNA from 1 species